rnacentral:rRNA from 1 species
UACAGAGGUGGCAAGCGUUGUUCGGAAUUACUGGGCGUAAAGGGCGCGUAGGCGGCCAUCUAAGUCAGACGUGAAAUCCCCCGGCUUAACCUGGGAACUGCGUCUGAUACUGGGAGGCUAGAGUUCGGGAGAGGGAUGUAGAAUUCCAGGUGUAGCGGUGAAAUGCGUAGAUAUCUGGAGGAACACCGGUGGCGAAGGCGGCAUCCUGGACCGGCAUUGACGCUGAGGCGCGAAAGCCAGGGGAGCAAACGGG